UACGAAGGACCCGAGCGUUAUCCGGAUUUAUUGGGUUUAAAGGGUGCGUAGGCGGAUUAGUAAGUCAGUGGUGAAAGCCUCUCGCUCAACGGGAGAACUGCCAUUGAUACUGCUAGUCUUGAGUAUGGUUGAGGUGGGCGGAAUGUGUCAUGUAGCGGUGAAAUGCUUAGAUAUGACACAGAACACCGAUUGCGAAGGCAGCUCGCUAAACCAUAACUGACGCUGAGGCACGAAAGCGUGGGGAGCAAACAGG
rnacentral:misc_RNA from 1 species